CUCUGUGAAAAGCAAGUGGGUGUCCCUUUGGUGGUCCGCAAUGCCUGACUGAAAGCACGACAGCAACCGCUGAUGAACCCGAAUUGAAUAUGCGCAUAUCUGUCAAAUAUCCAUCAACAAACUAACUUAACCAAGCAGGACCAGUCGUCGGCUCAACACUGCCACCGACUGUCUGUUGAGAGAGAGGCCCAGCAAGUUAUAUUUCGAAACGAGCUCCGCGGAAGAUAUUUCUCUGUGACUGUCCAGAAGAGAGGAGACCUGAAAUCCUCGGAAUCUUCCUAUUUGGUUAACGAGAUCAUCGAGGAAGGAAGCUAUGGCCAGGUGGCCCGGUGUUAAAACGGCCACCAAUCAAAAGAUCGCCAGGUUAAUGUGCCUCACAGUUCUUGACCCAGAUGGGGGUGGGAUCGUGAGAUGGAUGGAUGUCUUCCAACAUGGUCCAAAAAUCUGUCUGGAGUUUGAGCUCCUGGAUAAAAGUCUCAGAUACCUGACCCAGCAGAAAGAGCUCCACCUUCUGCCUUUGAAUCAAAUCAAGAUCAUCCUGGAACAGGUGUGGUUGGACUUCAACCUCAACAACAUUUACCAUUAUAUUUGACAAUUUACGGUUCUCAAAACAGAAGCAGGAAGCAGUGCAGGGGCAGGGAUGUUGGAUGUGCUGUUCUCCAGCGCAUCCAGCACUGAGCAUCCACCAACACUGCAACCAAUCCGCCGCCGGGUUCUCUUACUCAUGAAUAGACAAUGAAGUUAUUUCUAGGCCUGAUUCAGAUCAAGUUCAGAACGACACGGGCUGGUCAGGCGUU